GCGCCUGGGGCUGAAAUCGACAUUUGCCUCUGGCAGGAAAGUGAGCCUGUCAGACUCUGUCUCCGUUAGACCCUCCACCCACGGGAACGGGGGAUUUCGGUAGCCUUUUAGCUUUCUAUCUCAGGAACCAGAAAGCCCAAGCCGGUGAAAGGCCGGGCAAGCUGCGCACGUCCAGCAAACUGCCCGGAGGGGAGGCCCCGGAGCGGGGCUUCCCGGUCCCCCGCUCCUCACCUCCGGGGACUUCCAGGUCUUCCUCGCCCCCCACCCUCUCCCCGCCUCGCCCCGAGGGCGUCACGUGGCGGCGUGGGACCCGCCUCCGGUGACGUCACCGCGCUCGCAGCCGUCGCGCUGAAGAAAGGAUGCUCUAGGAUGCUGUGCAGGUGGGGGGCCGGACGCGCCAUGCGGCACUGCAGGUGUAACUAGCAUGGUCAAUGCAGGAGCGAUGAGUGGUUCUGGAAACCUGAUGGAUUUCCUCGAUGAGCCAUUCCCUGAUGUGGGGACAUAUGAGGACUUCCACACCAUCGACUGGCUAAGGGAAAAGUCACGGGACACCGACAGACACAGAAAGAUAACCAGCAAAAGCAAGGAGUCCAUAUGGGAGUUCAUCAAGAGUCUGCUGGACGCCUGGUCAGGAUGGGUGGUGAUGCUGCUCAUUGGCCUGCUGGCGGGCACCUUGGCUGGGGUCAUCGAUCUCGCUGUCGACUGGAUGACCGACUUGAAGGAGGGGGUCUGUCUGUCUGCCUUCUGGUACAGCCACGAGCAGUGCUGCUGGACGUCCAACGAGACCACUUUUGAGGACAGGGACAAGUGUCCCCUGUGGCAGAAAUGGUCGGAGCUGCUGGUGAACCAGUCAGAGGGCGCCAGUGCUUACAUUCUGAAUUACCUAAUGUACAUCCUGUGGGCAUUGCUGUUUGCGUUUUUGGCCGUCUCCCUGGUGCGCGUGUUUGCACCAUACGCCUGUGGCUCGGGUAUACCAGAGAUAAAGACCAUUUUGAGCGGCUUCAUCAUCAGGGGCUACUUGGGGAAGUGGACCCUGCUGAUCAAGACUGUCACCCUGGUGCUGGUGGUGUCCUCGGGCCUGAGCCUCGGGAAAGAAGGGCCGCUGGUGCACGUGGCCUGUUGCUGUGGAAACUUCUUCAGCAGCCUUUUCUCCAAGUACAGCAAGAACGAGGGCAAGAGGCGCGAGGUGCUCUCGGCUGCCGCCGCUGCUGGAGUUUCCGUUGCCUUUGGGGCUCCAAUAGGAGGUGUGCUUUUCAGCCUCGAGGAGGUCAGUUACUACUUUCCCCUGAAGACCUUGUGGAGGUCCUUUUUCGCGGCCCUGGUGGCGGCCUUCACGCUGCGAUCCAUCAAUCCCUUUGGGAACAGCCGCCUUGUUCUCUUUUACGUGGAGUAUCACACGCCCUGGUACAUGGCCGAGCUCUUCCCCUUCAUCCUGCUCGGGGUCUUUGGGGGCUUGUGGGGAACGCUCUUCAUCCGCGGCAACAUCGCCUGGUGCAGGAGGCGCAAGACCACCAAGCUGGGCAAGUACCCGGUGCUGGAGGUCAUCGUGGUGACCGCCGUCACCGCCAUCAUCGCCUACCCGAACCCGUACACGCGCCGGAGCACGAGCGAGCUCAUUUCCGAGCUGUUCAAUGACUGCGGGGCCCUCGAGUCCUCCCAGCUGUGUGACUACAUCAACGACCCGAACAUGACGCGGCCCGUGGACGACAUCCCGGACCGGCCGGCCGGGGUGGGGGUUUACACAGCCAUGUGGCAGCUGGCCCUGGCACUGGUCUUCAAAAUCGUCAUUACCAUCUUUACCUUCGGCAUGAAGAUCCCGUCGGGUCUCUUCAUCCCCAGCAUGGCUGUGGGCGCCAUGGCGGGCAGGAUGGUGGGAAUCGGCGUGGAGCAGCUGGCUUACCAUCACCACGACUGGAUCGUCUUCAGGAACUGGUGCAGGCCCGGAGCCGACUGCGUCACCCCCGGACUUUACGCAAUGGUGGGAGCCGCCGCCUGCCUAGGCGGGGUUACCAGGAUGACGGUGUCGUUGGUGGUCAUCAUGUUUGAAUUAACGGGUGGCCUAGAGUACAUUGUGCCCUUGAUGGCGGCAGCCGUGACCAGCAAGUGGGUGGCCGAUGCCUUUGGGAAAGAAGGCAUCUAUGAGGCUCAUAUCCACUUAAACGGGUACCCGUUUCUGGACGUGAAGGAUGAGUUCACCCAUCGCACGCUGGCCACUGACGUCAUGCGGCCACGGCGCGGAGAGCCACCCCUGUCCGUGCUCACCCAGGACAGCAUGACCGUGGAGGACGUGGAGACGCUCAUCAAGGAGACCGACUACAACGGCUUCCCGGUGGUGGUCUCCAGGGACUCCGAGCGCCUCAUCGGAUUUGCCCAGAGGAGGGAGCUGAUUCUUGCAAUAAAGAACGCCAGACAGAGGCAGGAGGGCAUCGUGAGCAACUCCAUCAUGUACUUCACGGAGGAGCCGCCCGAGCUGCCGGCCAACAGCCCGCACCCCCUGAAGCUGCGGCGCGUCCUAAACCUCAGCCCGUUCACGGUCACGGACCAUACCCCCAUGGAGACGGUGGUGGACAUCUUCCGGAAACUGGGGCUCCGGCAGUGCCUGGUGACGCGCAGCGGGAGACUUCUUGGCAUCAUCACGAAAAAGGAUGUUUUGAGACAUAUGGCCCAGAUGGCAAACCAGGACCCUGAAUCCAUCAUGUUUAAUUAGAAACAAGGUGGCAUUUAUUUUGAGAGAAACACAACUGUGUCAUUUUAAAAGAAAUAAACAAAUGAUAUGUUAUUAUCCUAAUGAACGAUUAUACGCUAGGGGCAGUGGAAAGAAAAGCUUUGUUUGAACGAAAGGAGGAUAAAACCUGGUGUGUGUGUGUGUUUUUUUUUAAAGACAUCCACGAGUAGGCAUUUUAUAGCUUUAACCCCUUGUGAGUUUCCAGCUGUGUUUCUUAAUGAGUUUAUUAACUGCCGUGGGAGCAUGUGGGUGGGUGUAAACGAUGUGGUUUGUACAAGGACACAGAACACAAAUGCUGAGUCAAGAAACGCUUGCCCCUUCUGUUUAAGGCUGUUUGGGAAGCUUUGAGUCUAAGAGGCCAAGGGGUAUUGGCCCGUCAGCAUCUUUAUUUAUUGGUUCCCGAAGUGUUGCUGCUAUUUUACUGAAUUGGAUUAAAGAUGUUUGCACUGACUUUGUCGGAAAAGAAAAAGAAAUUAAAUCUGAACCGAGUGAAAGCUGCACGAAUGCCAGUGGGCCCACUCGUGACCAUCCCGUUGUCUUGCUCCCGCUCUCAUCCGUCUGUGCACCAACAUCCGGGGGCUUCUGCUCCGCUGACUGUGAGAAACCCUUUCUCGGUGCAACACCAGCAUCUCGGGGCCACACCGUGAACUCACUGCUCGAGCGUUUAGUGCUCCGCGGGUUUCCUCCUGCACGAAGGGACCCGCCGCGAUUUUGAGGGUAUACGCACCUGCUCAUGGUUUCGCGUCCCUGUUGUAUGUACCUCACUUGUUGAUCGCCGUGGCCUGUGCAUUCUUAAAUAUUGAUCAGUCCGGCACUUUCCACGGGCCAUAUCCUGUAUGCUGCCAGCUUGCCGUAAGCGUGCUUCAAUUUCCAGAUAGCGUACGUGAGAGUCAAAGCCGGCCACCCAGUGUUACUACUUAUUUUUCCUCUCAGCUCUUAUUAAAUACGGCUGCAGGGAGGGUGAGGCAUACGAAGUCUCAGUGGGAACUCCUCCAAAUGGAUUGCGAGAGAAAUGCUAAAUUGAUUCUAAAUCUGUUCCAUUAUCUUCUCUGUAGGAUGCAUAACGUCCGGCUCUAAUGUCUGAGCGCGCGCUUUCAUGCUCGCAGUCAAAGCACAGAAGGGCAGAGUUAAAUUGGAGACCGCCACUUGGAGCACUGGGCACCUUCGUGUUGAACUUAACGGUGCAUUUGUCCCUUUAGUCGGGACUCGGCUCUUUUCUGUGAGAAGGAACCGAGCUGCGGUUCCGGUCCGCUGUGGCACCGGUGUGAGUACGUCCGCUCCCGGGAGCCUGUCACGUGUGUCCCCGCUCCCCCCUUCUCACCGAGUGGCCCGUGCCCUUUGCGAUCUCGGUCUCGGAUAUUGACGUGCCAGGUGUGUGUCUGGCGGCCGGAGAGAAAUCCCACGAACGGUGAUGAGCUGAACGAGAAACCGGGGGUCGGGCACUCUCGCGUGUCUCCACAUUACCACCCAGCAGCCGUACGCUUUGCCAUUGUUGUCUGCCGUCCUUCGUCCUCUGGCUUCUAGCCUCAGAGUCACAGGCCGGGCUCUCUGUUACCCGGCUGCCGGCCAGGCCGUCGGCUUCCUAGGCACGAAGCGGGAGGAGGAGACACGUAGCAAGGUGCGAUGCCUGUGCCCAGGAAGCAGAACUUGCCCACAGGUGCCCAGCUGAUGUCCACUGGCUGGACUUUGGUCCCGCGACUCCCCCUGGCUGCACAACCAAACCCUUUAGACUUCUGUAGAACUUUCUGGAUCCUUUCUGAAGCAGUGUUUUAUGUAAAGAAACAUAAAUGUGGGACAGAAACGGAGUUCUCUAACAGAGCACAUCAACCUAUUUCUUGCUCCCCCUCUCUACUAGUAAGGAAACGUGUUGUAGAAGGACAGACAUCAUAAAGAACAUCCCGAGAGGGACACAUGGAUUUCUUGCGUGUUUCGGUGCACCCCCCGGGAAUGCGGGUGCGUGGGUGGCAUUUAUGGAAAGGUAAAUGUGUUAGAAGCAAUCAAUACUCGGUGUUCGCUGUUCCUCAGAACCAGGCCAGCUCAACUUUCUCUGUUUGGUACUCCCCAAAGACCUUACAAAGGAGAAGACCUCUCAGUAAGAUCUCGUUUUGGCCCCGGUAAGCCACAGAAACUGGGGAAUUGGUUUCACUGAGGGGAGAACUGGUUACUUCGGAUUAUCGACAAGUGCAGAUCUGCUCAGGACUCCUUAUCAGACGCCGAGCUGGAAAAGAUGAGAAACACAAGCCUCUGAAAUGAUUUACACGACGGGGGAGCAUGUAUAUGUGACUUGGGGACAUUAACCAGACUCCAUUUUCGCUGACGCAGUAAUAACUAUUUAUUUGCCGUCCUAGGUGUGCCGGGAAUGAGCCUACAUGCGACUUUUAUGAGAUCUGUUCGCAUUUGGUGUUGGAACGACCACAGAGCAAUGUGGUGGUUUUUUUUUUUUUAAUUGUAACCCUCUGUGUAAACGUUGGCACCUUACUAAAAAUUAAGUGUUUGAACUUUCCUUUUAAAAAUAAAACGAGCACAGUCUUCAAGCA